rnacentral:sRNA from 1 species
UUUUAGCCCGGAUGGCAGCGGAAAGCCCGGAGGCUGAAAAAUUAAUUUUUGCCGAUAAAAAAAAGCGACCAACGGAAGCUCUUUUUUGUCGUGGAAAAAUAUUUUUUCGGGCGAGGACUUGCAGCGUACAGCCGGAUUGGCU